CUUGAAGGCGGCGUCGGGAGUACUCAUGGUGCUGACCCAAUCCUCAUGCAGUUCCGUGCCUCUUUCGCUUUUCUUUUUUCUUUUUUGCACCAAAUAAAUGCCCGGCUGCUGCCGCUGCCUUCUCGAGAGCUCUUAACUCUCCGCUCGCAGCAUCUCUGCACAUGCCAGCCGCUCCGAUCCCGCAGGCGGUGCCGGCUCCUCUCGUUCCCUUGGGCUCGGGUCGCACUUCGGGCAGCAGAGAGGAGAAAUGUCUCUCCCCGUCAGCGCGAAGGCAGCGCGGGGAAGGCAGGAAGGUAGGCUUCGAGGUCUCUUUCUCUCUGGGCGACUGAUGCUGCUGCUGUUGUCAACAAGCCCUGCAAGCUGUUAUGCGGAUCCGUCUGUGGAUCUUUUUUUCUUUGCAAGGCUUUAAAUACAAAAGUGCCUUCCGAGCAGCGGCAACGUGCUCUGAUUAGGCCUCAUUACGCAUGCAUGGAAAAGCAAACAAACAAAAAAAAUUAGCAACGCUUCUUCUUUUACACAUCCCCCAGCCAGCGCUCUCUCGCUCUCUUUCUCCUUUUCUCCACUUUUUUCUCCCUUCGCUCGGCCCCCUUUUCCAGCUCUGCGACUUGCCAUUGGCCCAGCCUGUUGUUGAAACUUUUUUUUUUCUUUUUUUUCCCCUCCCUCCUCUCUUUACGAUCUGCUGGAGUGAGGGAAACGAAAAGGGGGGCUGGAGGGCAGCUCACAUUCAAAGCUUGAAAGGAAAGGCUUAAGGAGAAUGACAGCCCCCCCGAGGAGCCCCUCCUCCCGUUAAGGCGGCGCGGCCCCGCGCAGCCACGGGGCGAAGGCACAUCUCCGAGCGGAGCGGAGGCCCCGCUCCCUCCGGCUCACGUGGGGGCGAGGCGGAGGCUCCGGGCUCCGGAGAGUGGCUUUGUCCGUACUCCGUGCCGACGUGCUGGUAGCGGGGUGCAGCAACCAUGCUUCCUUAAUUGAACAUCGUGGACGUCAUUUGUCAAAGGCAGAGCAUUGCAUGAACUAAGCAUAUUCCUGAGAGAAUGUGCAUCAGGAGCGGCUGAGUGGCCAUGUUGAAACCUUUCUGUGAAUUUGUAAGAAGUUAGCAUAUAUAGAGCAAUCACUGUCAACAUUAUCAUAUUAGCAUUUACUGUGCUGGAAAGUCUAACAAGGAAAGGCUUUGAUGCUGCAGAUAGGUCUUUGUCCCUUGGAGAUGCUGAUGCAAAUGUGCUUUGUUCAUGGAAUGGCCCUGGAAACAGUCAGAAAGGGGAGGAUCUUCUCUGCGCUGGCAACAAGGCAAAAACCCAAUUGCAGCUGUGCAGUGGCUAUUGCAUCAGCAGUGCAAGUCAACAUUUCCCCAGGAAUGUAAAGCCAUCUGUCACAUCCCUGCAACCUUUCUUGGUUACUCUCCCAGUGUGCUGCGCUGGCCUUUUUUUUUUCUGUCUGACACAGAACCUUUUAUUGGAACAUAUUUGAAAAGCUAAAUUCAGCAAAUGCAAGUUAUUAAAACUGCUUUUUAUAUGAUAAAAAUACAAAUGUGGGAGAUACUUUUUCACAAGUCAAAUUAUUGAACUGUGAUGUUUUGAGGAAACAGUUUCUCUCUUUAUUCUAAGAAUAAAUGAUUGUAGCAUACAUGAUCA
ensembl:lncRNA